rnacentral:rRNA from 1 species
AGAGUUUGAUCCUGGCUCAGGAUGAACGCUGGCGGCGUGCCUAAUACAUGCAAGUCGAGCGAACGGACGAGAAGCUUGCUUCUCUGAUGUUAGCGGCGGACGGGUGAGUAACACGUGGAUAACCUACCUAUAAGACUGGGAUAACUUCGGGAAACCGGAGCUAAUACCGGAUAAUAUUUUGAACCGCAUGGUUCAAAAGUAAAAGACGGUCUUGCUGUCACUUAUAGAUGGAUCCGCGCUGCAUUAGCUAGUUGGUAAGGUAACGGCUUACCAAGGCAACGAUGCAUAGCCGACCUGAGAGGGUGAUCGGCCACACUGGAACUGAGACACGGUCCAGACUCCUACGGGAGGCAGCAGUAGGGAAUCUUCUGCAAUGGGCGAAAGCCUGACGGAGCAACGCCGCGUGAGUGAUGAAGGUCUUCGGAUCGUAAAGCUCUGUUAUUAGGGAAGAACAUAUGUGUAAGUAACUGUGCACAUCUUGACGGUACCUAAUCAGAAAGCCACGGCUAACUACGUGCCAGCAGCCGCGGUAAUACGUAGGUGGCAAGCGUUAUCCGGAAUUAUUGGGCGUAAAGCGCGCGUAGGCGGUUUUUUAAGUCUGAUGUGAAAGCCCACGGCUCAACCGUGGAGGGUCAUUGGAAACUGGAAAACUUGAGUGCAGAAGAGGAAAGUGGAAUUCCAUGUGUAGCGGUGAAAUGCGCAGAGAUAUGGAGGAACACCAGUGGCGAAGGCGACUUUCUGGUCUGUAACUGACGCUGAUGUGCGAAAGCGUGGGGAUCAAACAGGAUUAGAUACCCUGGUAGUCCACGCCGUAAACGAUGAGUGCUAAGUGUUAGGGGGUUUCCGCCCCUUAGUGCUGCAGCUAACGCAUUAAGCACUCCGCCUGGGGAGUACGACCGCAAGGUUGAAACUCAAAGGAAUUGACGGGGACCCGCACAAGCGGUGGAGCAUGUGGUUUAAUUCGAAGCAACGCGAAGAACCUUACCAAAUCUUGACAUCCUUUGACAACUCUAGAGAUAGAGCUUUCCCCUUCGGGGGACAAAGUGACAGGUGGUGCAUGGUUGUCGUCAGCUCGUGUCGUGAGAUGUUGGGUUAAGUCCCGCAACGAGCGCAACCCUUAAGCUUAGUUGCCAUCAUUAAGUUGGGCACUCUAAGUUGACUGCCGGUGACAAACCGGAGGAAGGUGGGGAUGACGUCAAAUCAUCAUGCCCCUUAUGAUUUGGGCUACACACGUGCUACAAUGGACAAUACAAAGGGCAGCGAAACCGCGAGGUCAAGCAAAUCCCAUAAAGUUGUUCUCAGUUCGGAUUGUAGUCUGCAACUCGACUACAUGAAGCUGGAAUCGCUAGUAAUCGUAGAUCAGC